UAUCGAGGGAAUUCUAGCUCUUCAGCCCCAUGUGUGCCACCUAGACCUGGCUCUGCAAGAACCUCCCUAACAUCUGCAGACUGAAUCCAGUGGACUGGAAUUUGGACAUUCUUGCUAGGAAGGUUAAGAGACUGAUGGGACCAGAAAGAAUGAUGCUAGUUGAUAAAUCCGUUUUCAACAUGAUUCCUAGAUAGAAGCUAGAUUCAUCUCAUACCAGAGGAGUGGAAUUUGCACAUGACCAGAUUUUAAACCUCACUUCCCUAGUCUAGACCUCUUUGGUGCUAUAAAUCCUGGAGAUGACUGCAUUUUUCUUUUAUGCAUGAAGGUAGACGAUUCUUCACGUUAAAGAUGGGAGCUGAAUUUUCUCACCAGAAAUGGUUUUAUAGAAUCAUGUUACAAAAAUUAAAAGAUAAUAAAAAUAAAUGAAAGAAUAAAAUAUUAUUCUCUUCAAUCAUA